GUUGAUUCUCCUCAGUUCGUGUCUUGAGACCGAGGCUCGUCUACGCCGAGAACUGCGUACGUCUUUCGAUUUCAAACUUCUUCACUUUUGUCUCUUUUUCCCCUCCAUUCGUGCCUGUCAGUGAAAUUCCGUUUAUUAUAUUAAAAACUUUUAGGAUUUAUAAGUAUUGAUCGACCUGCCUCUGGGUUUAACCGGAAAAAGAAAUUGUGAUUUUUUCCCAAAAUUUGAAGUGGUGUGAUCUGUGUAAACGAGGAUUUAUUCUGGAGAUUGUCGAAAGAAAAUGUACACUUUGUACAAUCGUUCAUCCUGUUGUUAGUGGACGUUUAUGAAUAUUUGAGAAGUGAGUGAAUAGAUUUUAAAAGGAUCGAUCCAAAAUGAUGGCUCAUCACCGGUCUUCCCAUGACGCGACACCGAUCUGCCGGUGCAGGGUCCUUUAUCUGGGCUCUGCGGUGCCUCACAUCACGAAGGACGGCCUCCAAGGGAUACAGGAGCCUCUGAGGGAACUCUAUCCGGAACAAGGCGCCCUCGGAGCGAGAGGGAUAGACUCUUGGCUCAGCGUUUGGAGCAACGGUGUCCUUUUGGAGAACGUGGACGAAAAUCACAAAAAGGUAACGAGAUUUUUUCCGAUCGACACACUUCAUUACUGUGCCGCGGUGAGGUACGUCCUCGUGCCCGAGAAGUCGCCGGCUUCUUCCUCGUCGCAGCCGAGAUUUUUGCCUUUGGACUCCCCGUUCGCGAGAUCCCCCAACCCCAACCAUCCUCCUCUCUUCGCCUGCAUCUUACGCCGUACGACCGGCAUCAAAGUUUUGGAAUGUCACACUUUCAUCUGCAAGAGGGAAAUGGCGGCCAACGCUCUGGUCAGAUGCUGUUUUCACGCGUAUGCGGAUUCGUCUUACGCCGCGCGUCAAUCCGACCCGCCCUCGACUUACAACUCGAACGGAGGCACUUACGGCACCCUACGCAAGGACUGUCAGAUCGGCAACAGUUCUAACAGCAUCGAAAAAGUAGACGGCUGGAGACGUAUGACUUCCCCUUUGGCCGGAAGCACCCUGACCCUGGACAGCGUAGUCCACAACAGUACGUUCGAGAGCAACGGUAACAACGCCAACGGGAAUACAAGCGCCUCCUUAGUCUUCAACAACGAUUUUUCCAGAUCCAACGAUGACAUCUCUGUUUAUAACGGUGACGAAAACCACAAGAUCUGGGCCGGAAGCACUCGCGAGCUUUCCGACGGCGAAGAAGGGAUUUACGGCGAGUACGGGACGAGCACGAUGAAAAGCGCCAGGUCGUCGAGACCUAGGCAGAUAAUGAGCGCCACUCCUCCUCCGCCUCCGCCGACUAAAGAAGAGAAACAAACUGUAAACAAAACUAACAAAGAAUCGUCGAGGAGGAAAAAAAUGACGGGAGGGAGCAAAGAAGAGAUGUAUCCUCUGAUGAACGGAUCAUUAAUGAGGCCAGGUAGCACGGUAAGAUCUCAAGGAUCGACCGUAGGAGGGACUCUGAUGCGAAAUCACGGCGGUUACCAUUCUCACCAACAGCAACCUCCGCCUAUGAUUGUCGUACCGGCGACCAUCCCUCAUCUGAGAAGGGGCCCGCCACCGAAAGGCCGUCCUCAUCCUCAUGGGCCGCCUAUGGUGUCUCCGAACUUCUACCCGCCCCCGCCUGCCCCGAUAUUCGUUCAGACGACCGGGAAGAAAAACAAACACUAUCCCGUCACCAUGGAAGAACCGAUAUACAUGCCUUCGAACCGGCCGAUGAGCCCGGUGUCCUCUUACCAACCGUGCCAUUUCCCCAUCGAAGCUUAUUUAAUGCAACACUACGCCACGAUGAAUUACAAUUACGGAAGGAAAGGGAAAAAGGGCAAUAAAAAAGCGAUGAAAAUGAUACCGAUCAUGCCGCCUCCACCGCCCAACUGCGAAGAAUGGGGCGACCCUGGGAUGGUGUACGAACAGAGACCUAUGAAAGAGAUGAAAAACGGAAAACCGCCCAGUUCUAAAGGCCAAAACCCCGGCGGGGUCGGCCCGGGGUCCGAGGAGGAAUGCUCCGAGAGCCCCUUCGACGCCAGACUCUACAACAAAGAAGGGAAAGAAGGCGAAAACUUCAAAAAAGGCACCAGCCUCAUGGGUCUGGACGAGGACGCCGAAUCCCCCUACAACACGGGCAUCUACAGGAGAAAAGGGCACAUGAACGAAAGGGCAUUUUCUUACUCCAUCAGGCAGGAGCAUAGGUCCCGUUCCUACGGAUCCCUGGCCAAUUUGAAAUUCGCCCCUCUUCCCGUCCUCCCCGGGGAUCGUCCUGACGCACACUACUACGACACCGGGGUCAACAAAGAAGAAAUGAAAAAAGAACGAGAGAUCAUGCAGAUGAUGCAGGACUUGGAACUUUCAGGAGACGACAUAGAAAGAUCAGAAGUGCCCCCAAACGUAUACCAACAGACUCGCCAGAGAAAUUCACAAAUUAGGAGAUAAUUUCACCGUCCGAAGAGGUUGCGAAAGGUGUGUAACGAAAUGGUGCGAAAUCUUCAGAAUUAUAUAUUAUUUGACUAUAGUAAUCAAUGAAUCCUCAGUCGCCGAUGAAGAUUGUUCUACUGGAAGUAAUAGCAUAUUACACCUUUUAGAACAUAAUAAUGAAUAAAUGAAUAUACAAAAAAUAUAUUACACUUAUAUAAUUACCAAAAAAAAUUAGCAAUUAGUCCAACCCCCUGAGGUGAUAUUGAUGUGUUUUGAAAUGUAUAGUUAUUAUUUAUUUAACUGUUAAAUAAUUAUUAAGAAAAAUAUAUUUUGGAUUGCAUACCAUUUUUAUAUGUGCCUAAUGACCAUUUUUGACUGGCGUAACAUAUGGCGGUAAAAAUUGUGUUGCCAUAUUAUACGAACAUGGUUAAUAAUCUUGUUUUAUGUGGUAGUUAUAUUAUAUUUACAUUUUAUAUAAUCAUAUAAAUGUGGAUGACCAUUUAAUUACUAAGGCAUUACUUUAAUUUUAUUUUUACUUGUAAUAUUACAAUUUUAAGAUCAGACAUUUAAGUUUCCACAAAAAGAAUAUGUAUUUUAUACAUAUUUAUGAAGAUUUUUAAGCUGGUUUAUUUUAUGUCUUCCUAGUCCACAGUCCCUUUAAUAAACAAAUUUAAAAAAUUAAAGAAUUGAUGUUAAAGAUUUGUAAAAAAACCUACCAGCAGAUAAUGUUGAUGAUGUUUCUAAACAUCUUGAUCAUUAGCAUUAAAAAAAAUUAAUAUUCAAAUUUAAAACUAAAUUUUAAUCGUAAUAUAGUGUUGUACUUAGUGUUAAUAGUAUUGUAUAGAUAAAUUUAAUCGAAUAAUAUAAAAUAAUUAAAGAUAGAGAUUACAGUUUUAUCUGAAAUUAUCUAAUUACCAAGAAAUUUUUUUGCUUCAUGGUUGUACAAAGCAAAUAAUCACAACCCACAUAAAUAUGUACCAGUAGCAAACAAUAAGUCUUCAGUAUUUAGAUGUAAACUCAUACUAAAUUGGUAGUUUCAUUUUGUUUAAUUAUAUUGUAUAUGUAUGUAUAUCUUUUUUUUAGAUGAGAAUAUGAAAAUUUCAUUUGUGUUAAAAUAUAUUUUGUAUAUGAGAGUUAAAUUUCUAUGAAUAUUUGGAAAGAUGUAUACAUAUUUUUCUAUCAGUUUUAUCAAUUUAGGGUGUGAGAUGGUGCCAUGAAUAUUUAUAUGAAUUUAUUUUUCUACUGUUACAUUAGAAUUUAAAUUUAAAACUAUAUAAAUUAAUAAUAAACCAAUUUCCUGAAUCUGAAAUAUUUUAA